rnacentral:rRNA from 1 species
GAUGAACGCUGGCGGCGUGCCUAAUACAUGCAAGUCGAGCGAACGGACGAGAAGCUUGCUUCUCUGAUGUUAGCGGCGGACGGGUGAGUAACACGUGGAUAACCUACCUAUAAGACUGGGAUAACUUCGGGAAACCGGAGCUAAUACCGGAUAAUAUUUUGAACCGCAUGGUUCAAAAGUGAAAGACGGUCUUGCUGUCACUUAUAGAUGGAUCCGCGCUGCAUUAGCUAGUUGGUAAGGUAACGGCUUACCAAGGCAACGAUGCAUAGCCGACCUGAGAGGGUGAUCGGCCACACUGGAACUGAGACACGGUCCAGACUCCUACGGGAGGCAGCAGUAGGGAAUCUUCCGCAAUGGGCGAAAGCCUGACGGAGCAACGCCGCGUGAGUGAUGAAGGUCUUCGGAUCGUAAAACUCUGUUAUUAGGGAAGAACAUAUGUGUAAGUAACUGUGCACAUCUUGACGGUACCUAAUCAGAAAGCCACGGCUAACUACGUGCCAGCAGCCGCGGUAAUACGUAGGUGGCAAAGCGUUAUCCGGAAUUAUUGGGCGUAAAGCGCGCGUAGGCGGUUUUUUAAGUCUGAUGUGAAAGCCCACGGCUCACCGUGGGAGGGUCAUUGGAAUCUGGGAAACUUGAGUGCAGAAGAGGAAAGGGGAAUUCCAUGUGUAGCGGUGAAAUGCGCAGAGAUAUGGAGGAACACCAGUGGCGAAGGCGACUUUCUGGUCUGUAACUGACGCUGAUGUGCGAAAGCGUGGGGAUCAAACAGGAUUAGAUACCCUGGUAGUCCACGCCGUAAACGAUGAGUGCUAAGUGUUAGGGGGUUUCCGCCCCUUAGUGCUGCAGCUAACGCAUUAAGCACUCCGCCUGGGGAGUACGACCGCAAGGUUGAAACUCAAAGGAAUUGACGGGGACCCGCACAAGCGGUGGAGCAUGUGGCUUAAUUCGAAGCAACGCGAAGAACCUUACCAAAUCUUGACAUCCUUUGACAACUCUAGAGAUAGAGCCUUCCCCUUCGGGGGACAAAGUGACAGGUGGUGCAUGGUUGUCGUCAGCUCGUGUCGUGAGAUGUUGGGUUAAGUCCCGCAACGAGCGCAACCCUUAAGCUUAGUUGCCAUCAUUAAGUUGGGCACUCUAAGUUGACUGCCGGUGACAAACCGGAGGAAGGUGGGGAUGACGUCAAAUCAUCAUGCCCCUUAUGAUUUGGGCUACACACGUGCUACAAUGGACAAUACAAAGGGCAGCGAAACCGCGAGGUCAAGCAAAUCCCAUAAAGUUGUUCUCAGUUCGGAUUGUAGUCUGCAACUCGACUACAUGAAGCUGGAAUCGCUAGUAAUCGUAGAUCAGCAUGCUACGGUGAAUACGUUCCCGGGUCU